rnacentral:rRNA from 1 species
GAUGAACGCUGGCGGCGUGCCUAACACAUGCAAGUCGAGCGAUUUACUUCGGUAAAGAGCGGCGGACGGGUGAGCAACGCGUGGGUAACCUGCCCUGUACACACGGAUAACAUACCGAAAGGUAUGCUAAUACGAGAUAAUAUGCUUUUAUCGCAUGGUAGAAGUAUCAAAGCUUUUGCGGUACAGGAUGGACCCGCGUCUGAUUCGCUAGUUGGUAAGGUAACGGCUUACCAAGGCGACGAUCAGUAGCCGACCUGAGAGGGUGAUCGGCCACAGUGAAACUGCGACACGGUCCAAACUCCUACGGGAGGCAGCAGUGGGGAAUAUUGCACAAUGGGCGAAAGCCUGAUGCAGCAACGCCGCGUGAGCGAUGAAGGCCUCCGGGUCGGAAAGCUCUGUCCUCAAGGAAGAUAAUGACGGUACUUGAGGAGGAAGCCCCGGCUAACUACGUGCCAGCCGCCGCCGUAA